rnacentral:rRNA from 1 species
GAUGAACGCUAGCGGCAGGCUUAACACAUGCAAGUCGAGGGGUAUAGGCUUUCGGGCCUAGAGACCGGCGCACGGGUGCGUAACGCGUAUGCAAUCUACCUUUUACAGAGGGAUAGCCCAGAGAAAUUUGGAUUAAUACCUCAUAGUAUUAUGAAAUGGCAUCAUUUUAUAAUUAAAGUUCCAACGGUAAAAGAUGAGCAUGCGUCCCAUUAGCUAGUUGGUGUGGUAACGGCACACCAAGGCAAUGAUGGGUAGGGGUCCUGAGAGGGAGAUCCCCCACACUGGUACUGAGACACGGACCAGACUCCUACGGGAGGCAGCAGUGAGGAAUAUUGGACAAUGGGCGCAAGCCUGAUCCAGCCAUGCCGCGUGCAGGCUGACGGUCCUAUGGAUUGUAAACUGCUUUUAUACGGGAAGAAACCCUGGCUCGUGAGCCAGAUUGACGGUACCGUAGGAAUAAGGAUCGGCUAACUCCGUGCCAGCAGCCGCGGUAAUACGGAGGAUCCAAGCGUUAUCCGGAAUCAUUGGGUUUAAAGGGUCCGUAGGCGGUUUUAUAAGUCAGUGGUGAAAUCCGGUAGCUCAACUAUCGAACUGCCAUUGAUACUGUAGAACUUGAAUUGCUGUGAAGUAACUAGAAUAUGUAGUGUAGCGGUGAAAUGCUUAGAUAUUACAUGGAAUACCAAUUGCGAAGGCAGGUUACUAACAUCAUAUUGACGCUGAUGGACGAAAGCGUGGGGAGCGAACAGGAUUAGAUACCCUGGUAGUCCACGCCGUAAACGAUGGAUACUAGCUGUUUGGUAGCAAUACUGAGUGGCUAAGCGAAAGUGAUAAGUAUCCCACCUGGGGAGUACGAACGCAAGUUUGAAACUCAAAGGAAUUGACGGGGGCCCGCACAAGCGGUGGAGCAUGUGGUUUAAUUCGAUGAUACGCGAGGAACCUUACCAGGGCUUAAAUGUAGAUUGACAGACUUGGAAACAGGUUUUUCUUCGGACAAUUUACAAGGUGCUGCAUGGUUGUCGUCAGCUCGUGCCGUGAGGUGUCAGGUUAAGUCCUAUAACGAGCGCAACCCCUGUCGUUAGUUGCCAGCGAGUCAUGUCGGGAACUCUAACGAGACUGCCGGUGCAAACCGUGAGGAAGGUGGGGAUGACGUCAAAUCAUCACGGCCCUUACGUCCUGGGCUACACACGUGCUACAAUGGCCGGUACAGAGAGCAGCCACUGGGCGACCAGGAGCGAAUCUACAAAACCGGUCACAGUUCGGAUCGGAGUCUGCAACCCGACUCCGUGAAGCUGGAAUCGCUAGUAAUCGGAUAUCAGCCAUGAUCCGGUGAAUACGUUCCCGGGCCU